AUAAACAGAGGCAGGAAAAAAAAACAACUUUCAUCUGUAGCCCACACUUGCCUACUUAACACUGACUAAACAAACGUCCUAAAUAAGGUGCACUCUGCAAAAUGUCCGGGGAGAGCAAGAUCUUCUCUGAGCUGAGACAACCCUGCAAGCUCCAGAGUGAUUCAGUUCCCACUGAGACCCCUUAUUCGUGGGUGUCUUGGCAUGAGAAGGAGCUGUGCCAUGGACUGCCAGCCCCAUUGGGAUAUCUCACACGUGGCAGGACAAUCAAGGCAAACAUUUGGAGAGAAUCUUCUAAUUCAGUGCGUUGAUCAGAGCAGAACUACAUAUUUAUAUACUAGUUAUGACUAUUUAUCAUCAGAAAAAAAAAAUAUCAAU